AAAACAUGUCUACACUCUUGUGCAAUUUUUAUGAAGAAAAAUCAAAUUUCGAGUGAUUUCUUAAAAAUUUUGCUGAGGUACGGUGCUUGAUUAUGUAGGGUGAUGGUUUCUCAGUACAAACGAAAAACAAGUCAAAAUGAUGGACAGAGGUCGAUCUAAAACGGGCCAUGGAUGCUAUCAUCCAGAUAAAUGAGUCUACCACGCAUCAGAAGCAAAAAGAUAUAAUAUAUGAAAUCUGAAAUAUGUUAAAAGAAGUUAGAAAGGUUCACUUAGAUAUGUUCUCACCAAAAAUCAAGAAAAUCAGUUAUGUAACUACCUGAAA